rnacentral:rRNA from 1 species
AGACGUCUACAUUAGAUACCCCCGUAGUCCUAGCCGUAAACGAUACUCGCUAGGUGUCGGCCACGGUGCGACCGUUGUCGGUGCCGUAAGGAAGCCGUGAAGCGAGCCACCUGGGAAGUACGGCCGCAAGGCUGAAACUUAAAGGAAUUGGCGGGGGAGCACAACAACGGGUGGAGCUUGCGGUUUAAUUGGAUUCAACGCCGGAAAUCUUACCGGGACCGACAGCAACAUGAAGGCCAAGCUGAAGACUUUGCCGGAUUAGCUG